rnacentral:lncRNA from 1 species
AUUUUUCGUGUCGGGUCGAGUGUUUUUUAUGUACUUCUAACUCAGUUAGUCCACGCUACUCAAACUCAAAACUUCCAUACAAAACCCCGGACAUUUGAAGGAAUUUAUAAACUCCCCCAGACAGGCUGGACAGCCCCCCAAAAAAGAAGACUUGUCUGGGUAAAAGAGGACGAAUGGUCACCCCAAUUUUUGUUCGCCUACUGCAUACUAAAUUCUGGGGAAAUCAGUACGUACUGCUAGUAUAGUCGGCAAAUUCGAAAACAGCCUAGGUUUUGUCGAUUAUUGUAAACUUCCAGUUUUCUCCAGUAGGGGGAGCCUGUUCUGUGCAGCUGUUCACUAAGCUGAAAUGUGAAAGCUGCGAACAGAGAGUCUGUUUUUUUCUUCCUUUUUCUCCCAUGUAAAAAAAAUCGUUAAAGAAAUUAACAUAAAACUUGAUGCAAAUGUAAUCUUGGUCAAAAUGAACAAAACUGGUAUAAUAAUAAUUCUGUUUAAAGUCAGUUAAAGCUCCAGAGAGGUGUUUUUUGAGGUUAAUGAAAGAAACUGAAAUUCAUGUUGCUUCCUUUUAAUGAUAUAAAAAAGUAAAACAGGCCAUCAGCAACAAAAUUAACAAUUCUUAUAUUGUCAUCGUUAAUGCAUGAAAGUAGUAUGAUGGGGUAGGUGUCGGCCAAGCAGCUGAAAAGACAGCCAUGUUUUAUGAAUUCUCAUUUGACCGUCAAAAAUCGUCAGGAGGAGAUCAUUUGUCAAAACAAACUACCUCAUCAUGUAAAGGACAAGAUAAGAAGAGACUGCACAAACUAAAAGUCCCUCAAAGAAGCUUUAAAUAAGUUUAGUUGAAGUUUGUUACACAGAUGUGCUAACGUGCUACAGUAAUUGUUCACGGAAACUGUCCACAGUGAGAUCUACUUGAUUGUCCUGAGUUAAAAAUGCCACGUUUCAAACCGUUCACCUCGUGAUCACUCGAGCGCUCUCUUGGAAAAGUUGCAAAUAUCUCCAAAGCUUUGAACAGUAAAGACAUAAGUCUGCAUUCAUAGAGACCUUUCUGUGAGGAAAACAUGUUCGUUUCUUUCCCUGCGGUCACACAAGGACGAAACAGAGGUGACCUUUGCGGGAAUGGAGCGCCUUACGGUCCAAAUGGAAGAAGCCUUCAUAGUUGAUUAGCUGCGUACCAUCCUCUCUGAUUGGAUUUCCUCUUUCUCUGAGUCUAAACGGCUCAUCUGGAGGGACAGAGACAGUAAAUAGUUCUGAGACAGGAGUACAAAUAUGUUGUUUGAAUGAACUUUAUGAACGUUUCGUCUGUAAGUGACUGAGUUUAUAAGCCAGCUCGUAUUGAGUUUUUCCACCUUUUAUUCGUUAAUGACUCUGAGUUUAAGAUGAAAAGACUAAAAAACGAUCUGACUCUGGUUUGAGUCCAGUGAGCGCUCCAGAGUUUCUCCUAACACCUCCUCAAACUGUCUGAAGUCUCCUCAUUUAGCCUUUAGGUGUUUGUGUUGGAUUGUUUUCCUCUUAAAUGUUGAACAUGUCAAAAUCCUGGGAAUAUCUUGACUUAGUCGGAGUUCAUCGUUGGGAUACAAGGUGAGAUCUCACGCUGGGCUCGUGAAGAUAAGGCGUUUUCUUUUAUCGUGACAGCGGUGAGUUAAAGUGUGAGGUUGUUUCCUGAUGGUUGUAGCUUUCAUUAUUCUUUUGGUAAGUCUAUCUAUUGUUGACUGAAUUAUUUAAAGAGACUUUGCAAUAAGUCUGUAAAGUUGAAUCAUACUGACCCAAAUGUAAAACGAAGUUUCAGGUUGAGUCUUUUCAGUUACCAGAUCUUGUUUUGAUAGAAACUGUUUUCAUUUAAAUUAAUGAUAAAAUUCAUGUUUUUACAUCUUUGAUGUAUUUUUUUCAGAAUCUUAAAGUAAAUUUGUCAAAAUUAAAUUCAAGUGCAAAUGAAGAACCCAAGUAUUGGUGUGAUGAAUAGGAUGAAUCUUGUCUGGCCUUGUCCGGGGGAGUUAAUAAAAUCCUUCAAAUGUCCGGGGUUUUGUAUGGAAGUUUGGAAGAAAACACUCGACUCAAAAAACUCUCAAAAUUAACUAUGCGCGACUCCAUGACUCCGCCCCCACAUAGUCAUGUCCUCUUUUUGGGGAUUCAGAAUAUGGUCACCCGACUUAAUCUAUAAUGAUCCCACUUUUUUGAAGGUAUAUUUACAGGGAAGAAGAGUCUGUCUUAUAUUCGGGUCUGUGAAGUCUUCAGUUUAGUACGACCUCCCCAAGAAGAGGUACUAAGGGAAUCUUGGAGGGGUCUCUUGAGUCUGUGUGGAGCAUUAUUUCCUUUUUGUUUCUUGUUUCUUUUAACCAUGUUAGUGAGGACACACAGCAAUGCAAAGCUAAAGCUUAAGGGCAAAAACUGCAGUUCUUGGGGUCACCACUAGAGGCUACCUUUCAAAGCUCCCUAUGAAGUCUUAUGUUAAGAGCUCAACUUAGAUUGAAAACACUGCUCAUAGAAGAUGUCAGUCCUGUUCCUGAUGGUCUUGUUUGCUUUUGUGUAUCAUAAAAAAGUCUCAACAUGAAUCUCAAUCUAUGUCACUGAUGUCAAAAAACUCCUGACAGGAGCUUUAAAUCGACUCUAAGACUGAAAUCAAAGUUGCUCUCUUAGUUUUACGCAGAUAAACUUUAGUCUCCUCUUUGAAAGUCACUUUUAACUCAUCCACACACAUCCAAUCUCCUCAUACAUCAUUUUUAUUACUUUUUAGUACAACAUCACUGAACUUUGGUGGCACAUCAUAACAACUCACACGCGGAGUAUCCAGGAAUAACAUCUAAUGAGUACCAACCGCGUCACAGCUUGAAGCAGCGGGCGUCCGACCAAGCUGCUGUGCUUGGCAAGUUAAGAGUGACAACGAGCUGACAAUACCCAUGAGCCUCGACCUUGGUUGCUAUGAAAAAGACGCCAGUCUGAACUCCAAAACACAGAAACAUACUGAUUUAAACCGACCUAGAAUCCAAAGUGAGAGCUCAGAUCCUCUCUGCUGUUCGAGGCCGGUGUAACGGUUUCCUCUCUGGGGUCGGUUCUUGCCAAGAUUCGCAUUAGGACUCGUACUUUGCGUCUCUUCCUAUGUAACUUCUACAAUAACCAGAUGUCUGCUUGGAUUGUGAUGAUUCAGCUGGGAGGAUCCGAGCAGUAAGAGAGCUGUAACCGAGCCUCUCAUUACAUCAUUUUGAACAAAAUAUUUAAGCUUUUGCUGCUGCUGGGAACAGGGGCGCUGAAAAUAGACCCUCCGAAUUUACAACCUAUGCCGCCAUGUUUUUGUUUGUUUAUAGUGUUCCCUAGUUAAAUACACAACUCUCCUUCUUAAUCAGAGUGAUGUAAAAUAUAUGAGCCUCUCAGCUUUCCAUUUGUCAGCUUUGAAUGUUUCCUGGGAAGCCGUGCUUGGGGAUUUCGUGAUGAGAAUUAAACAUCAAAACAAGAUGUGUUUUUUUUUUUUUCUUUUUUCCCUUGUAAGAAAACACACAUCAACAUUGUUUGUGGGAGCAAACCCUGGAUCUGUACGUGAGACAUGAAAGUGGAAAAGCAAAUUUGAAUGAUGGAGGUAAGAACUAAUGGUGGCAGAUGUACCUUCUUCUCCCGUCUCCCCUCCCCCUCUGCGCUCAGAUGAAUGUCUCAGGUUGGAAAGCACUCAGCAUCCUAUCUGUUUUGAUCAUCCGAUUUCUGACAGCACCACCCGAUUGUAGAUCACAAAGCAUGUUUGCAGCUCGAGCACCUCCUCUUGAUUUGCCUCGCUUGCACAUUUUCCUCCAUAUGCAGCACUUUGUUGGAUGGCAUGCGUCUCCUGAUGAAUGAGGAGGGGGACCUUUUGGCCCCUCUUGAAAACAAGUGGAGGGCCAUGACAGUCGAGUCAUGCUGCAGGCUGACGCUGGCAUGCAAUAACUCUAACAAUACACUCCUAAAAACAGCCUAACGUGCAGAUAUUAGAUUUAUUAAACAGCAGAAUAGCUUCAGAAAAACAUGUUCUGCAUUUGGAAGAAUUUAUGUCCUCAAUUAAAAGAGCAAAACAUCACAAGAGAAGAAAAAUCCUGCAGCCAUUCGGCUCAUUUUUACCAGGUUUUGCCCUCACGCUAUAAAAUCAAUCUUGGACCACUCACUCUUAAUUUUGUUCCAAAGCAAGAAACACUAAGCCAGAUUUUCUCACCCUGAACAAUUAGAGCUGACCCGUAGUGAGAGCAUUUGGCGGGUUUGGCUCUGUGUUUGAGCCCAGCUUUGUCAAAGGCGGGUCAUUUAGAGAGACAGGGAGUUUAUUCAAGGGCUGUUAGAGGGAGGGCGUUCAUCAUCUGUGUAGAAACAGCCUGAGAAAAUGACCCAUAUGGAAUCCAUAUGCUCGGUUUGUGUUCCCCUGAACGGGUUAAUGUCGGUCACGGCCAGGUCGUCAAGCUCCAGGGGCACGAGACUUUGAUCGAACACCUCCAGAACCGCCGGGGAAUCAGGAGACUCGGAUUUCCUGGAACAUCUGAGGAAUGCAGAUUGAGCUGUGUUACGGCAGUUAGGCGUAAAAAUCAAGUUUUUGUGACUUAUUUUUACUACAAUUCCUGUACAAUAAAAUUUUUACUCGCAGUUUAGUCUCUAAUAACAUCCAACAUUGGCAGAGUGAGGGGUGUAAAAGAGCAGGACCCGAGGCUGGAGGAGUUCUGGGAGGAGACGUGGUGGGAUGCAGGCGAGAAAAGGGGGAGUAUUUGUCAGAGAGUCAGAGAAACAGGCCUAUUAAACUGGCACACUAUGAGCUGAAUCAGGGCCUCUAACUAAACUAAUCUGCCUCUUUAGUUUUUCAUUAAAAUUGAAAUAAGAAAGAAGGCAUUUCAAAUAUUUUCACAUAUAGGUUCAUUUUUAAUGCACUGUUGGUUUCUAAUUGAGCAGAACUGUGUAUUUAUCAGAACACAUGCAACGUUUAAGAAGGUGGUUCAUCCAAGUCAUGUGCUGCAAGCUGCACAUGUGUGGGAAUCAGUGCAUUUGGACUUGGUUCUGGUGGAGUUAGGGUUACCAGGUACCAGUGAGGUUCUACCUCAGCUCUGAGUGUUGAACUGGUUUGUUGAGGAGGGACCACUUCACUUAUUGGAAACCACUGAGGUGACCUUGAGAAGGCACCGACCCUCCUAUCUGAAGAGAGCCAUCUCUCCAUUAUUUUGUGUGUGUGUGUGUGUGUGUGUGUGUGUGUGUGUGUGUGUGUGUGUGUGUGUGUGUGUAGCAUGUUGAAUAUCAAAGUGAAGAAUUGAAUUUCUCUCAGGGAUUAACAGAGAAUGUUUUCU